rnacentral:rRNA from 1 species
UACGUAGGGUGCAAGCGUUGUCCGGAAUUAUUGGGCGUAAAGAGCUCGUAGGCGGUCUGUCGCGUCUGCUGUGAAAACUCAGGGCUUAACCCUGAGCUUGCAGUGGGUACGGGCAGACUAGAGUGCGGUAGGGGGAGACUGGAAUUCCUGGUGUAGCGGUGAAAUGCGCAGAUAUCAGGGAGGGAACACCGGUGGCGAAGGCGGGUCUCUGG